rnacentral:rRNA from 1 species
UACGGAAGGCAGCAGUGGGGAAUCUUGCGCAAUGGGCGAAAGCCUGACGCAGCCAUGCCGCGUGGAUGAUGAAGGUCUUAGGAUUGUAAAAUCCUUUCACCGGUGAAGAUAAUGACUGUAGCCGGAGAAGAAGCCCCGGCUAACUUCGUGCCAGCAGCCGCGGUAAUACGAAGGGGCUAGCGUUGCUCGGAAUUACUGGGCGUAAAGGGAGCGUAGGCGGACAUUUAAGUCAGGGGUGAAAUCCCAGAGCUCAACUCUGGAACUGCCUUUUGAUACUGGGUGUCUUGAGUGUGAUAGAGGUAUGUGGAACUCCGAGUGUAGAGGUGAAAUUCGUAGAUAUUCGGAAGAACACCAGUGGCGAAGGCGACAUACUGGAUCAUUACUGACGCUGAGGCUCGAAAGCGUGGGGAGCAAACAGGGAUUAGAUACC